AGAGUUUGAUCCUGGCUCAGGACGAACGCUGGCGGCGUGCUUAACACAUGCAAGUCGAACGAUGAUCCAGAGCUUGCUCGUGAUUAGUGGCGAACGGGUGAGUAACACGUGAGUAACCUGCCCUUGACUCUGGGAUAAGCGUUGGAAACGACGUCUAAUACCGGAUACGACCAGCCCCGCAUCGGGUGUUGGUGGAAAGAAUUUUGGUCAAGGAUGGACUCGCGGCCUAUCAGGUAGUUGGUGAGGUAAUGGCUCACCAAGCCUACGACGGGUAGCCGGCCUGAGAGGGUGACCGGCCACACUGGGACUGAGACACGGCCCAGACUCCUACGGGAGGCAGCAGUGGGGAAUAUUGCACAAUGGGCGAAAGCCUGAUGCAGCAACGCCGCGUGAGGGACGACGGCCUUCGGGUUGUAAACCUCUUUUAGCAGGGAAGAAGCGAAAGUGACGGUACCUGCAGAAAAAGCACCGGCUAACUACGUGCCAGCAGCCGCGGUAAUACGUAGGGUGCAAGCGUUGUCCGGAAUUAUUGGGCGUAAAGAGCUCGUAGGCGGUUUGUCGCGUCUGCUGUGAAAACCCGAGGCUCAACCUCGGGCCUGCAGUGGGUACGGGCAGACUAGAGUGCGGUAGGGGAGAUUGGAAUUCCUGGUGUAGCGGUGGAAUGCGCAGAUAUCAGGAGGAACACCGAUGGCGAAGGCAGAUCUCUGGGCCGUAACUGACGCUGAGGAGCGAAAGGGUGGGGAGCAAACAGGCUUAGAUACCCUGGUAGUCCACCCCGUAAACGUUGGGAACUAGAUGUGGGGACCAUUCCACGGUCUCCGUGUCGCAGCUAACGCAUUAAGUUCCCCGCCUGGGGAGUACGGCCGCAAGGCUAAAACUCAAAGGAAUUGACGGGGGCCCGCACAAGCGGCGGAGCAUGCGGAUUAAUUCGAUGCAACGCGAAGAACCUUACCAAGGCUUGACAUAUACCGGAAACGGCGAGAGAUCGUCGCCCCGCAAGGUCGGUAUACAGGUGGUGCAUGGUUGUCGUCAGCUCGUGUCGUGAGAUGUUGGGUUAAGUCCCGCAACGAGCGCAACCCUCGUUCUAUGUUGCCAGCACGUAAUGGUGGGAACUCAUGGGAUACUGCCGGGGUCAACUCGGAGGAAGGUGGGGACGACGUCAAAUCAUCAUGCCCCUUAUGUCUUGGGCUUCACGCAUGCUACAAUGGCCAGUACAAAGGGCUGCAAUACCGUAAGGUGGAGCGAAUCCCAAAAAGCUGGUCCCAGUUCGGAUUGAGGUCUGCAACUCGACCUCAUGAAGUCGGAGUCGCUAGUAAUCGCAGAUCAGCAACGCUGCGGUGAAUACGUUCCCGGGCCUUGUACACACCGCCCGUCAAGUCAUGAAAGUCGGUAACACCCGAAGCCGGUGGCCUAACCCCUUGUGGGAAGGAGCUGUCUAAGGUGGGAUCGGUAAUUAGGACUAAGUCGUAACAAGGUAACC
rnacentral:rRNA from 1 species